rnacentral:rRNA from 1 species
AUUGAGCGCUGGCGGCAGGCCUAACACAUGCAAGUCGAGCGGAUGAAGGGAGCUUGCUCCUGGAUUCAGCGGCGGACGGGUGAGUAAUGCCUAGGAAUCUGCCUGGUAGUGGGGGAUAACGUCCGGAAACGGGCGCUAAUACCGCAUACGUCCUGAGGGAGAAAGUGGGGGAUCUUCGGACCUCACGCUAUCAGAUGAGCCUAGGUCGGAUUAGCUAGUUGGUGGGGUAAAGGCCUACCAAGGCGACGAUCCGUAACUGGUCUGAGAGGAUGAUCAGUCACACUGGAACUGAGACACGGUCCAGACUCCUACGGGAGGCAGCAGUGGGGAAUAUUGGACAAUGGGCGAAAGCCUGAUCCAGCCAUGCCGCGUGUGUUAAGAAGGUCUUCGGAUUGUAAAGCACUUUAAGUUGGGAGGAAGGGCAGUAAGUUAAUACCUUGCUGUUUUGACGUUACCAACAGAAUAAGCACCGGCUAACUUCGUG